rnacentral:tRNA from 1 species
CAGGGAGUAUAUCAAUAGGUAGAUUGUCUGCUUUGGGAGCGGGAGGCUAUGGGUUCAAGUCCCAUUUUUCUGA